GUGAAUCAUCGAAUCUUUGAACGCAAAUUGCACUCUCUUCGGAGAGUAUGCCUGUUUGAGGGUCAGUAUUAAUAAAAAUCGGUGUGUUGCUUUUUUGCGACGCUCUGGAGCUUGGGUUAUCUUAAUAUCCUUUAGGUUUUAAGAGGCUUAAUAUUGAUUUUUUUUGCGUUUUUUAGAUGUUUAUAAAUUUUUUUUUUUAUUCGUUUAUUCUUAAUGCUAUAUUUUUAUUAGAUGCGAUCACAUCGUGUGGUUUCGUGUCUAUAAAAUUUACAUGAUUUGACCUCAAAUUAGGAAGGA
rnacentral:misc_RNA from 1 species